AGGGGUAAUGGGUUAAAACUUAAACAGGGGAAGUCUAGAUUGGAUAUAAUGAGGAAGUUUUUUACUGGUAGGGUGGUGAGGCACUGGAAUGGGUUGCCCAGGGAGGUUGUGAAUGCUCCAUCCCUGGCGGUGUUCAAGGCCAGGUUGGACAGAGCCUUGGGUGACAUGGUUUAGUGUGAGGUGUCCCUGCCCAUGGCAGGGGGGUUGGAACUAGAUGAUCUUAAGGUCCUUUCCAACCCUAACUAUUCUGUGAUUCUCUUAAGCUGCAAACCACAACCAAGUGCAAGUGCUCCGGGCAGGAAGGAA